UUUGAAUUGGGAUUGAUCAUCAAAUAUUAUUCUUAUUUCUCUAGUGGUCAUCAAUUUCUCUGUCACAGAAACCUCUCAAUAUGUAGAAAUGGAGGCCCAAAGGUAUUAACUAACUUGCUGGGUCAUAUAAUUAUUUAGUGGGAACCUAGAUCUCUACUCCAGGUCUUCUAGCUGUUAAAGUCACUCUAUUCCCAGGACUUAAGACUUGCUUUAAAGAACAGACCAUUAUAUGUUGAGAUUAUAAUAUUAUGGCACUGGGUGUAAUAAAUCAAAUUACUGGAAGAUACUGAAACGUUUCUAGGCAAAUCUUUUCCCCAAUGUUUGAUGUUGAGCAUUUACAUUUUCUUUUCCAUGAGGAGAAUUAAAUUUG